rnacentral:lncRNA from 1 species
AAAAUUAUUCCUUAGUAUCCCAAUAUGUUAUAUUAGGUAUCCUUAAAUUGCAUGAACAAUAAUCUGCCCUAUUUCAGCAUUGCUAGAAGGUGAUUCUGGAUCUCACAUCUCCGUUAAAAGAAAAGGAUGUAUACUUUUGUUGUAAGAUCUCUAUUUAAAAAUCUUCUUCUUUUGUACUCUUUCCACUAGACGAUGAUACGUGGAAUUAUCAUCCAUAACUUUCACCUUCCUCAUGAAACAAUUUAAACUUGCUUCUUAGUGAUAAACGAAAGCAUUUAAUAAUUGCCCGUCUAUUAGAGAUGAAAUAGUUUACUUCAAAUCUUAGAAGCAGGGUCACUAAGUACAAACCCCUGAAACAUCAUGUGCUAUUGGGCCUGUUCCCAUAUCAACUCUAUUGUUGAUUCCGCUCGCAUUUCCUAAUGACCCCAUGUCAUCAUCAUUUUUUUUUUUGUCAAAACUUCAACUAAUAUUCGUUUAAUUGAUUUAUCACAGGAUCACAAACUACUGCACUUUAUCCAUAGUAGAACAUUUGAGCCUAAAAUAUUCUUCAACAUUAAAAAUUAUUC